GGUCAGGACCCAGUGUCAAUGAACCUCCCACUUGCCAGGGUGACAGUCAUCAACAAUGGUCCUUGCAGCCAUCUCCCUUGGUGAAGCUUCAUUACAUGAAAGUCCUUGUCCACGUGUGUUUCUGUUAUUGACGGCAGUGACGCUUCUGACUUCCUACUCUUUGCACAACCACUUCCUGACAUGGUGAUGAGGGCGACCCAGCAAGUGUUGGGUGGAAUCUGCUCUUUCCCCUCCCUGCACUGGAACCAGAGGGGCCACCCUGAAUAAUGACCAUGGACACCCUAGGGGAGUACCUGGCUUUUGGAAUUCUAGAGGGCUCUACAGUGAUGAUGCCAUUGUCACCUUACUGGUUAAACAAAAGGAAUUUGAUGAACUUGUCCAUUGGCAUUCUCACAAACCCUUACUGAUGAAUAUGAAAGGACAAAGUGUCAGUUUGAUGCACCUUUACCUCAUUCCCUUCCCUUUCCUCAUUCAUUCUUCACACAUUAUGGAUGAACUGCUUUGUACCUGGGACAUUCAGAUGAUCAUGGUACAUUCUUGACUCAAGAAUCUCAGUGUAGAGAGGAAGAAUGAGGCUUUGAUGAUAAGAAACAGAUAUGGAAACUGAAAUUGUGCCUAUUCAAGAAUAUGGAGAUGAAAAAGUCAUCAAUACAACAUUAAAAAUACUGUCUCAUUAAUGAAAUGUCAUUUGGCAUACUUUC